CUGGUUGAUCCUGCCGGAGGUUACUGCUAUCCGAAUCCGAUUAAGACAUGCGAGUCAAUGCCGCAAGGCAUGGCGAACUGCUCAGUAACACGUAGCUAACAUGCCCUUGGAACUAGAAUAAUCCCGCGAAAGUGGGGCUAAUGCCAGAUAGUUGAUGGAGGCUGGAAUGCGCCAUCAAUCAAAGGCCCGCAAGGGCGUCCAAGGAUUGGGCUGCGGCCGAUCAGGCUGUUGUGAGGGUAAAGACCUCACAAACCUAUAACCGGUAAGGGCCAUGAAAGUGGGGGCCCUGAGAUGGAUUCUGAGACAUGAAUCCAGGUCCUACGGGACGCAGCAGUUACGAAAACUUCGCAAUGCGCGCAAGCGCGACGAGGGGAUUCGGAGUGUUACGACUUUUUGUCGUAUCUUUUACCAAGGUUAAGGCCCUUGGUGAAUAAGUGGUGGGCAAGACGAGUGCCAGCCGCCGCGGUAAUACUCGCGCCACGAGUGGUGACCACGAUUAUUUGGCCUAAAGUGUCCGUAGCUGGUUCGAUAAGUCUCCGGUGAAAUCUCAUAGUUGACUAUGAGGCGUGCUGGGGAUACUGACGAGCUUGGGACCGGGAAAGGGCAGAGGUAUUUUUAGGGUAGGGGUAAAAUCCUGUAAUCCUAAAAAGACCACCAGUGGCGAAGGCGUCUGCCUGGAACGGAUCCGACAGUGAUGGACGAAAGCUAGGGGAGCGAUCGGGAUUAGAUACCCCAGUAGUCCUAGCCGUAAACGAUGCAAACUUGGUGUUGCCAGUUCUAUAGGAACAGGCAGUGCCGUAGCGUAGGUGUUAAGUUUGCCGCCUGGGGAGUACGGCCGCAAGGCUGAAACUUAAGGGAAUUGGCGGGGGAGCACACAAGGAGUGUAGGCUGCGGUUCAAUUGGAUUCAACACCGGAAAUCUUACUAGCGUCGACAGCAGAAUGAAGGUCAGUUUAAAGUGCUUACCAGACAAGCUGAGAGGAGGUGCAUGGCCAUCGUCAGCUCGUAUCGUGAGACGUGCCGUUAAGUCGGUUAACGAGCGAGACCCAUGUCCCAUGUUGCCAAUCAUUCCUUCGGGGAUGAUGCACUCAUGGGAGACCGCUGUUGAUAAAACAGAGGAAGGAGUGGGCGACGGUAGGUCCGUAUGCCCCGAAUGCGCUAGGCUACACACGGCCCUCAAUGGAUAGUACAGUGGGAUGCAACCCCGAAAGGGGGAGCCAAACCCCUAAAACUAUUCCCAGUCUGAAUCGAGGGUUGUAAGGAUGUUAAUAAUCGAAUGAUUAGUUGGCAUCCCAACAAACUCACCCUCGUGAAACUGGAAUUCCUAGUAAGCGAAAGUCACUAUCUUUCGCUGAAUGCGUCCCUGCUCCUUGCACACAC
rnacentral:rRNA from 1 species